GGAAUAUUGGACAAUGGGGGCAACCCUGAUCCAGCCAUGCCGCGUGCGUGAAGAAGGCCUUAGGGUUGUAAAGCGCUUUCACUGGUGAAGAUGAUGACGGUAGCCAGAGAAGAAGCCCCGGCUAACUCCGUUCCAGCAGCCGCGGUAAUACGGAGGGGGCAAGCGUUGUUCGGAAUUACUGGGCGUAAAGGGCGCGCAGGCGGCUGCUCAAGUCAGGCGUGAAAGGCCUGGGCUCAACCCGGGAAUUGCGCUUGAGACUGAGCUGGCUUGAGUGCGGGAGAGGAUGGUGGAAUUCCCAGUGUAGAGGUGAAAUUCGUAGAUAUUGGGAAGAACACCGGUGGCGAAGGCGGCCAUCUGGACCGUAACUGACGCUGAGGCGCGAAAGCGUGGGGAGCAAAC
rnacentral:rRNA from 1 species